rnacentral:lncRNA from 1 species
GGCGGCGGUUGCUGCGGAGGCAUACCUGGGCGAGGUCCGUACAUACCAGGGGGUGCACCAGGAGGAGGCAUACCAGGUCUUGGAGGUCCCUGCAUGCCAGGAGGCAUUCCAGGUCGAGGAGGACCGCCAGGGCCUCCCAUACCUGGAGGAGGGCCGCGCAUCAUCGGGGGAGGACCCAUGGGUCGCUGUCCAUAAGGACCUGGAAUGCCUGGUCCAGACAUCUGCGGAGGAGGACCAGGAGGAGGCGGCAUUGGCCUUCCACCAGGAGGACCUUGUCCAUACCCUUGAGGAGGUGCUUGUCCAGGGGGACCUUGCAUCAUCUGACCAGGAGGGCCAGGAGGG